rnacentral:rRNA from 1 species
GACGGAGGAUGCAAGUGUUAUCCGGAAUCACUGGGGCGUAAAGCGUCUGUAGGUGGUUUAAUAAGUCAACUGUUAAAUCUUGAGGCUCAACCUCAAAAUCGCAGUCGAAACUAUUAGGCUAGAGUAUAGUAGGGGUAAAGGGAAUUUCCAGUGGAGCGGUGAAAUGCGUAGAGAUUGGAAAGAACACCGAUGGCGAAGGCACUUUACUGGGCUAUUACUAACACUCAGAGACGAAAGCUAGGGUAGCAAAUGGG